GAUGAACGCUGGCGGCGUGCUUAACACAUGCAAGUCGAACGAAGCAUUUACGACAGAUCUUUUCGGAGUGAAGUUGUUUAUGACUGAGUGGCGGACGGGUGAGUAACGCGUGGGUAACCUGCCUCAUACAGGGGGAUAACAGUUGGAAACGACUGCUAAUACCGCAUAAGCGCACGGUAUCGCAUGAUACAGUGUGAAAAACUCCGGUGGUAUGGGAUGGAUCCGCGUCUGAUUAGCCAGUUGGCGGGGUAACGGCCCACCAAAGCGACGAUCAGUAGCCGACCUGAGAGGGUGACCGGCCACAUUGGGACUGAGACACGGCCCAAACUCCUACGGGAGGCAGCAGUGGGGAAUAUUGCACAAUGGGGGAAACCCUGAUGCAGCGACGCCGCGUGAGUGAAGAAGUAUUUCGGUAUGUAAAGCUCUAUCAGCAGGGAAGAAAACAAUGACGGUACCUGUUGGGAAGCCACGGCUAACUACGUG
rnacentral:rRNA from 1 species